rnacentral:rRNA from 1 species
UACAGAGGUGGCGAGCGUUGUUCGGAUUUACUGGGCGUAAAGGGCGCGCGGGCGGCUCCGUGUGUCGGUUGUGAAAUCUCCGGGCUCAACCCGGAAAGUGCGGCCGAAACUGCGGAGCUGGAGCAAGGGAGAGGAAAGCGGAACUCAUGGUGUAGCGGUGAAAUGCGUUGAUAUCAUGAAGAACACCGGCGGCGAAGGCGGCUUUCUGGAACUUGGCUGACGCUUAGGCGCGAAAGUGGGGGGAGCAAAC